AGUGAACGCUGGCGGUAGGCCUAACACAUGCAAGUCGAACGGCAGCACAGCAAGAGCUUGCUCUUACGGGUGGCGAGUGGCGGACGGGUGAGGAAUACAUCGGAAUCUACUUUUUCGUGGGGGAUAACGUAGGGAAACUUACGCUAAUACCGCAUACGACCUACGGGUGAAAGCAGGGGAUCUUCGGACCUUGCGCGAUUGAAUGAGCCGAUGUCGGAUUAGCUAGUUGGCGGGGUAAAGGCCCACCAAGGCGACGAUCCGUAGCUGGUCUGAGAGGAUGAUCAGCCACACUGGAACUGAGACACGGUCCAGACUCCUACGGGAGGCAGCAGUGGGGAAUAUUGGUCAAUGGGCGCAAGCCUGAUCCAGCCAUACCGCGUGGGUGAAGAAGGCCUUCGGGUUGUAAAGCCCUUUUGUUGGGAAAGAAAAGCAGCAGGUUAAUACCCCGCUGUUCUGACGGUACCCAAAGAAUAAGCACCGGCUAACUUCGUG
rnacentral:rRNA from 1 species